UGACGAGAAGUAGCCGAGACCAUCGUAAGUGGUAGCUUGAAGAAUCAUUCGGGUCGCGGGUGCCGUUCUGACAUGCACUGAUGUUACUGGAUUUUUCCACUUGCAACUCUGACACCACUCACACCUUUCAGCGAUGCGAACUGAAUGUGCUUUGCACAGCAUUGAUGGAAGAGCAGAGAGAAAGAGAGAGAGCGAAAGCGAGAGAGAGAGGGGAAGAGGAGGCACCAAGGGUGUCGCCAGCCGUCGGCUACAAGUGCCAGUCGGUGCCCGUGAUAUUUCAGGGUCCUCCUGAACAAGGGUGUUGGUGACUCGGUGAAAGGAAAGGACUUGAGGAUGAAGAUGAAGAUGAAGAGGAAGAAGGCAUUGUGGGAAGUGGUGGGCAUCCAUCCUGGGCUGAACUUGGCAUAUGGGGAUGAAUAGAAGAGGUAUCCCAUGAUGGGGGGAGAGGUGUCCAAGUCUGGACAGGGAUCAGCGGUUAAGCUAAAGUACUGUACCGGGAGUAUGGUGUGUGAACUAGGUACACGGUAAAAGCAAAGUGAAACUGAAAAGUGUAAGAAAUAGUCACCAUCCAUCUUCUGUGUGUGUG